AAAAAAUUGGACUCCAUUGGUGUUUCAUUAAUAAUCCCUACCCUUUGUGAAUUUGUUUGUUUGAAUAAUUUUUUUCCAAAAAAAAUUAUUGAAUGUCUUUCCUUGUUUUGGUGGAGCUUGUAAAGUGAAACCAGGCAGGGGAAUGGCAAACAAUAAUUAUUUUUGAAAAAGACCUUUUUUUAAAAUUAAACUUUUUGUAUUCAUUUGUCUAAAAUUAAUUUUUAUAAUAUAAAAACAACUUUUGACAAUGGAUCUCUUGGUUCUCGCAACGAUGAAGAACGCAGCAAAAUGCGAUAAGUAGUGUGAAUUGCAGAAUACGUGAAUCAUCGAAUCUUCGAACGCAUAUUGCACUUUUUUAGUUUACUAAAAAAGUAUGUCUGUUUGAGUAUCAGUAAAAUAUUCUCAUAAAAAACAUUGUUUUUUUUAUGGUUAUGAGUGUUUUACAACGAUAACAAGUUGUUUCACUUUAAAUUCUUUGUUAUCAAAAAAAUCAUUAAAAGCUAAUUUUAAAGAUUUUUUAAAUUGGAUUAAAAUUUUCCCGUAAAAGGAAUAACCUAAACAAUUUUAAAAAAUUAAAAUUGGUUUGAUUUUUUUUGAAACCCAAAGGAAAAAAACGAAAUUAACUUGAUCUCAAAUCAGAUAAGAGUACCCGCUGAACUUAAGCAUAUCAAUAAGCGGAGGAAAAGAAACUAACUAGGAUUCCCUCAGUAACGGCGAGUGAAGCGGGAAGAGCUCAAAUUUGAAAUCUUCAAGGUUUUACCUUGACGAAUUGUAGUUAAAGAAGUGUUUUCUGUUGGAGUUUUGGUAAAAGUUCUUUGGAAAAGGACAUCAUAGAGGGUGAGAAUCCCGUAUCUUGACCAUUAUCUCCAGCUUUGUGAUACACUUUCAAAGAGUCGGAUUGUUUGGGAAUGCGGUCCAAAAUGGGUGGUAAAUUUCAUCUAAGCUAAAUACUGGCGAGAGACCGAUAGCGAACAAGUACCGUGAGGGAAAGAUGAAAAGAACUUUGAAAAGAGAGUUAAACAGUACGUGAAAUUGUCAAAAGGGAAGCGUUUGACACCAGUGUUGUUUUCUCGAAAAUCAAUUAAAAAAGGCCGGAUUUUGUGUUGUAUUGACUUUAUCAGCUUUCUGCACUCUUUUCUUGUCUUUUUUAAUGCACUUUUCGUUUAACAAGUCAACAUCAAUUUCUUUUGUUGUAAAAGGGUCAUUGGAAGGUGGCUUUCUUUUCGGAGAAAGUGUUUAUAGCCUUUGGCCUCUGCAAUCGGAGAGAUUGAGGUCUGCAGCGUAGAUCCUUCGGGGUUAGA
rnacentral:misc_RNA from 1 species